UACGGGGGGGGCGAGCGUUGUUCGGAAUUACUGGGCGUAAAGCGUGCGUAGGCGGUCCGCGAAGUCUGAUGUGAAAGCCCCGGGCUCAACCUGGGAACUGCAUUGGAAACUAACGGGCUCGAGUGUGGCAGAGGGGGGUGGAAUUCCACGUGUAGCAGUGAAAUGCGUAGAGAUGUGGAGGAACACCGAUGGCGAAGGCAGCCCCCUGGGCUAACACUGACGCUCAGGCACGAAAGCGUGGGGAGCAAACAGG
rnacentral:rRNA from 1 species